GACAACUUUCUUGGAAUCUGCAGUCUUGAUCCUGCGCACAGAAGAGAAUCCAGGAAGAAGUAUCUUGGUCCUUCACGGUCAUAGACUUGCCCCACUUUAUAUUUUUCCACGAAGCCAAGCUGGUGUCUGAUAUUUUAUUUGAUUGAGCCGAAAAUUGAAAUUUCAUGUCAGCGCGAUUCCAGCAGCCACAAACCUGUACAAAUGUGUAUAAAAUUAUUAGGCAGUUGAACAGAUUCUUUUUGCAUACAGUACUAACACAACCUGUACAGAUUGCGGAGAUAAUAUAUACAUAGCCGCAAGUUUGCCUAAAUUCCAUUUGUAUAAUCAUGAACCAUCCCCACCCAAUUGUAAAUAUCGUAUUCUUUGUAUAAACCUAAAUAUGGGAAAGCUGCUUGCAAAUGUAAUUAUGUGUUUCAUGUUUUGGUUGAUCUGUAUUGU